UACGUAGGGUGCAAGCGUUGUCCGGAUUUAUUGGGCGUAAAGAGCUCGUAGGCGGUUUGUCGCGUCGGAUGUGAAAACCCAGGGCUCAACCCUGGGCCUGCAUUCGAUACGGGCAGACUAGAGUAUGGCAGGGGAGACUGGAAUUCCUGGUGUAGCGGUGAAAUGCGCAGAUAUCAGGAGGAACACCGGUGGCGAAGGCGGGUCUCUGGGCCGUAACUGACGCUGAGGAGCGAAAGCGUGGGGAGCGAACAGG
rnacentral:rRNA from 1 species